rnacentral:rRNA from 1 species
GAGAGGGCGGCGAAGCCGCGAGGUGGAGCGAAUCCCAAAAAGACCGGUCUAAGUUCGGAUUGCAGGCUGCAACCCGCCCUGCAUGAAGUCGGAAUCGCUAGUAAUCGCGAGUCAGCAUAUCGCGGUGAAUACGUUCCCGGGUCUUGUACACACCGCCCGUCACACCAUGGGAGUUGGCAACACCCGAAGUCGAUGAGCUAACCUUUUAGGAGGCAGUCGCCUAAGGUGGGGUUGAUAACUGGGGUGAAGUCGUAACAAGGUAAC